ACCUGCCAACCAAAUUAAAAGAACCAAACCCCUUCCACGGUUAAGGAUCAGCACCGCCUAAAUACUUUCCCACGUUCUCCAUCUUCCUUCUUCUCCCACCACGACUUACACAGUUAAGAAUCGAGUUUCCAAUCGAACUCAAGAGUUCAAUCCCAAUCCGAAUUCAAGAGUUAGAGUUCAAUCUCAAUCUGAAUUGAAGAGUUCAAUCUCUAUUUAAUUUGACUCAAACCGAAAUUUCCCAAAUCCAAAUUACAGGUUCCCUUCAAUCCAAAUCCAGAUGUUUUCGUAUUUAGCUUCUUCUCCGGUGAGCGUUUCUCAGCGGCGAUUACUAUCUGGCGAACCUAUUGCCUGGCUGCGUUUGGUUGAGUUAUCAAUUGUGAGUUUCUUCUAAAUUAGCAAUUUAAUUGGGUUUUCAGGAAUUUUAAUUGUAAUUAAUUUUGCAAGUUUUAUAGCAAUUUGAUAUGCUUGUUUAUCACCUAGUUACUAGAUAUUGAGAGUUAUUAGAACUUUUUGAUUCUGGGAAUGUUAGAAACUUUCUGAUUCUGUGAAGUUCUAGAAAUAUUAUUUUAGGAAUUAGCAGUUACAAUGUAGUAUUUUCCCUUUAUUUUUCUUGCCUGCAUCAUCUGUGACUUGUUGCAUUUUCCCUUUAUUUUUCUUGAGAAAUCUUCAGAAGAAUUGGGUUUUAAUCUAUAAAUUCUAGUUCACUCGGAUAGUUUAAAAUUUUAGAUGAUUUUGAUGUGCUUUGAGCCUCUGAUUCAAUUGAAGUAUUAAACUGAAUGAAUUUUGUGGUCAGUGAUGUUUUUUACACAUUCAUCUUUGUGUUCUAUGGAAAGGGGAAAUAGAAUGUGAACAAUAAUGAUCCAAAUGACGAUAUGUCAGUAUAUGAUAAACAAGACAUGCACAAGAGCGAUAUUGAGAUUGUAGAUUUGUUGCAAAAUAAAUGACACAAAGUUAAAGCAAGUAAGCAACUAAGCAAGAAUCAUUUGUCCACAUCAACUGGACACCUAACUGGGGAUGACUGAAUCGAGUGGUAGUUCUUCUAUAAUAUUUUACUUGCUAGGCUUCCCUAUGAUUUUGGACCUGCAAGUUAGCUAAUGCAAAACAACCCUUUGAACAAUCAGGUUAUGGGAAUUUUAUGUUAAUGUUAGAUUCAUCAGUAUUUUUCAUAUUGUAUUCCCCUAACACCAUUAGCGCAUAUGAGUUUGUAGAUCUUUACCUGCUUGCGAGCAGCUUUGUAAUGCCAGGUACAAAAAUAUCUUUUGGGUUCAAGGAGGACUGGAAGCAGCAGAAGAAGAGGAUCUGCAGAGGGAAGGUUCACAACCAUUUAAAUUUGCCAGAAUUUUCUUGGGAAGAAAAGUUAAAUGUACCUGAGUUCUAAGCAGUGGCCAUCCGAUGCUUCCUAAGCCUGCUAUCGGCAAAAUGGCAUUGAUUUUGGCUGAUAUGGCACUGGAUUCAUGAAUGGAGAUCAUCAUCCACAAGCAUACAUGUAUUCAUGAAGAUGUAGAGUUCAAAUAAUGGUUUAUUGAUCAAGACCAGAUUAUGGAAUGAGGGCUCAUUUGGUUGUCUUGUUUUUCUUGUGUGUUUUAUGUGUAGUAUAUAUUUUUACCAAUUUGUUACAAUGGAUAGUGUACACGGUUAAAAACUAUGAGAUGUUUAUUUGAUAUAUAAUUGAAGAAAUGAAAUGGCUUUUGUUGUUUA